UGGUGGAGUGAUUUGUCUGGUUGAUUCCGUUAACGAACGAGAUCUCGACCCUUAAAUAGGUGUGCCUGUUUUCGUUGGAGCUCGCUCCAUCACGGGCACUACUUCUUAAGGGGACUGCUUGCCAUCAUAAGCAGGCGGAAGAGCGAGCCAAUAGCA
rnacentral:rRNA from 1 species